UCUCUUCUCCUGCCUGUCUAAACAAACAGAUUUAAAUCUGCUGAGCCAUGUGGAAAGAACACAAAGAUGUAUCUUCAUCCUGUCUGAAAUCCACACUAUGGCAAGGUGACAGUAAAUGAAGACUGCUGUGAAGACAAGAUGCAACCAAGAGUCUACAGGCAUUACAAGAACUCUUAGGCUGAGAAAUUUCCUGGAUAUAUGCCUCUUCUUUCAGAAGCACAGAAGCUGCGCUGAAGCUGUUUUUCUCUCCUGUACAUGUACAUCCACAUCUUUCUAUGCACAUGGCUUGCUACAGCCAGUUCUAUUUAGAUAGACUUUGGCAUACUCAUAUAUCAGAUUGAACCAUAAUAACACAAGAAACUAGAAUUUUAAUUAUCAUGUGACUGAGCAUGUUGUGUAUAAUAGAUAUUAAAUAUAAUAAUUAGCAAAAUGUGAGUGUAGAAUUUUAUGGUGUUUUGUUUAUUUUUCUGCUAAUUUAAACCUUCUGAAUUUUGAAGAUCAAAAUGUGUUAUUAUGAUGGAUCAGCCUGAUUUUGUGUAUUGUGCAGGGUGUAUAAUAUUGAAGUCAAUGCAGUCUUCAGUAUUCAGAAAUAAUGUACAAUUUUAAUUCUACAUGUCCUUGUCUGUUAUUAUCAUCAUAAUAGUGAAAGAAAAUGACUUUCAGCUAUGCAGACAAAAUUCACUUAUUCUCUUAGCAUAUUUUGUGCUUUGGAGUUUAUUUUAUUUUAUUUAUUUAUUUAUUUUACAUUCUGUAUAAAGUACAUAAUUUUGAAGCUCAUCUUAGGUUUUAAUAUUAUGUACUACAUGAAAUAUUAUGAGCAGUUGAUAUAUUGCUUUUAAAGGCUUUUUUUUUUUUCAUUCACAAGGUGAAAAAAACAAGAGGAGCAAAUAGUUAAAUAUAAACAAACGUGAAUGAUUUCUGUUUUUUUUUUUUUUUUUUUUUUUUUUUUUUUGCGGGGGUUGGGGAGGGGAGUAGGUAGAUAAUUUUGUUUUCCUUGCCAUAUAACCAGGCUGCACCUGUCAAUUCUAACCUUUGAAUCCUGGUCAUAUUUCUAGUUUUGGUAAAAACUACAAUAGCUAGCUAAUGAAAGUUUACACUAGAAUACUCUUUUUAGUCAUUUACAAGCUGUUUAAUCAAAAGUUUAUAACCUAAAAGACAACUAAUAAUUAACAUAAUUUUUAAAGUCUUCCUUCCUUCCUUCCUUCCUUCCUUCCUUCCUUCCUUCCUUCCUUCCUUCACUGUGAUGAUUCUGACAACAUAUUUAUAAGCUGUCAGUGACCUUUUGGUAAUGAAUUGCUGUUCCUACAAUUGUG
rnacentral:lncRNA from 1 species